rnacentral:rRNA from 1 species
AGUGAACGCUGGCGGUAGGCCUAACACAUGCAAGUCGAACGGCAGCACAGUAAGAGCUUGCUCUUACGGGUGGCGAGUGGCGGACGGGUGAGGAAUACAUCGGAAUCUACUUUUUCGUGGGGGAUAACGUAGGGAAACUUACGCUAAUACCGCAUACGACCUACGGGUGAAAGCAGGGGAUCUUCGGACCUUGCGCGAUUGAAUGAGCCGAUGUCGGAUUAGCUAGUUGGCGGGGUAAAGGCCCACCAAGGCGACGAUCCGUAGCUGGUCUGAGAGGAUGAUCAGCCACACUGGAACUGAGACACGGUCCAGACUCCUACGGGAGGCAGCAGUGGGGAAUAUUGGACAAUGGGCGCAAGCCUGAUCCAGCCAUACCGCGUGGGUGAAGAAGGCCUUCGGGUUGUAAAGCCCUUUUGUUGGGAAAGGAAAGCAGCAGGUUAAUACCCCGCUGUUCUGACGGUACCCAAAGAAUAAGCACCGGCUAACUUCGU